rnacentral:rRNA from 1 species
AUUGAACGCUGGCGGCAUGCCUUACACAUGCAAGUCGAACGGCAGCACGGGAGCAAUCCUGGUGGCGAGUGGCGAACGGGUGAGUAAUAUAUCGGAACGUGCCCAGUCGCGGGGGAUAACGCAGCGAAAGGUGUCAUAAUACCGCAUACUAUCUACGGAUGAAAGGUGGGGAGCGCAAGACCGCGCCAGAUUGGAGCGGCCGAUAUCAGAUUAGCUAGAUGGUGAGGUAAGGGCUCACCAAGGCGACGAUGUGUAGCUGGUCUGAGAGGACGACCAGCCACACUGGAACUGAGACACGGUCCAGACUCCUACGGGAGGCAGCAGUGGGGAAUUUUGGACAAUGGGCGAAAGCCUGAUCCAGUAAUGCCGCGUGCAGGAUGAAGGCCUUCGGGUUGUAAACUGAUUUUGUACGGAACGAAACGGUGAGCUCUAAUACAGUUUGCUAAUGACGGUACCGUAAGAAUAAGCACCGGCUAACUACGUGCCAGCAGCCGCCGUAA